CAAUAGCGUAUAUUAAAGUUGUUGCAGUUAAAAAGCUCGUAGUUGGAUUUCUGGUGGGAGCGAUCGGUCUGGCGCUUAGCGCGAGUACUUGCAUCGUCUCCGGCCAUCCUUGGGGAGAGUCUGUCUGGCAUUAAGUUGUCGGGCAGAGGAUCCUCAUCGUUUACUGUGAAAAAAUUAGAGUGUUCAAAGCAGGCUUAUGCCGUUGAAUAUAUUAGCAUGGAAUAAUAAGAUAGGACUUCGGUACUAUUUUGUUGGUUUGCGCACCAAAGUAAUGAUUAAUAGGGACAGUUGGGGGUAUUCGUAUUCCGUUGUCAGAGGUGAAAUUCUUGGAUUUACGGAAGACGAACUACUGCGAAAGCAUUUACCAAGGAUGUUUUCAUUAA
rnacentral:rRNA from 1 species